GAGAGAAAUAAGUUUUCCUGCCUUCUCAAGGACUUUGGAUAACUUUAGUUUCCACCCCAAUACAGAACAAACAUCAGCAGAGAGGUAUCAGCUUCCAAGACUCACCUCAUCUCUGAUUUUACCUGGAAUGCAAUUAUGCGUUUAAUAGCCUGCAGGCUUUUGAUUCAGAUAAUCGCGAAGAGGUCAUGCUACAGAGCUAGGAAGAUCCAAAGAAGAAAGUAGAAUGGAAUUAGGAGAUCUGCUGAAAUAUGAAGUUGCAUUAUCAAGUAAUAUAUAAACAUGCAAAAGGAGGGGUAGAAGCUUGAGUUGCAACCAAGGAAAUAACAGAAACCAUCUGAGAAGAUUCACCCACACUGCAUGUCUAAUAGCCUUCCUGCGGGUAUAGGAAUAUUUUCUGCUUUAAAGGAG
ensembl:lncRNA